AAAUUCCUACCCUCCUCUGCCCUGCUGCUCUGUGCCUGGGCAUGCCACUUCUCCUCUCCGGGCCUCAGGUGCCCAUCCUGGAUCACACUGGACUCUGCUCAGCUACUCUUCCUUCUGGAAGGGCUUUCUGGGCUUGCCUAUGUUGGAUCCAGCUCAGCCAGGUGUCUGUCUCGGCCCUGUCCCAACCAGGAACAAUGGGCCAGGCGGGGACAGUCACUCUUUGGUAGAACCAUGUUCCAUCCACUCCCCUAGACUAUUUUCAGCCUUUGUAGAGGGAGUCAGAAAAGGAUUUUCCACUCCCAGCACAAUGACCGCCCUGGACCAUUGUCCGGCAUUGAGUGGGUGAUCCACCAGCCCCAAAAUAUCCCCUACUCUACCCUCUGGACCUCCCUACCCUGGUGCUCAUCCUGACAUCAUUUCCUUGAACUGUUAACUCCUGAAGGCUACUAUGGAACAGCAGGUGAGAACUCUGAGGCACAUGACCAGUUGAAAUUAGUUUCUUUCCUGGCAGGGACCCCAGGGAUUGUUUGGCUGCUGAGUGAGACUAUAGGUUCAAAGAGGGCUUUGCCUCAUCCAAGGUCACAUAGCAGUCAGGAUGGAGCCUAGUAUGAGCCCAGGGCUCUAUGACUGCUCCUGCUUCCUCAUUAACUCCAGUCUGUGUCCAGAGGAAUUGAGUGCUUUCACCUUCGAAGGUCUAGGAUGUGCCUCCAGGGAAUAAACCUGAGUGGUAUGGGUAGCAGGGCUACUUCUUGGGUUCUGACAGUGGAACAAUGAAUUCAGUGCAGGGACCUGAGUUUAAAGUCUGUUAUUCCCCAUUUUGUUCUCAUUUUUACCAAAAGUAGGUAUUAAGGAGUAAAUGCGUCCUUCACCUGUUGAAAUCCAAAUUGGCAAGGUGAUGGUUUUAGGAGGUGGGGGCCUUGAGAAGUUAAAUUAGGUCAAGAGAGUAUAGUGCUCACAAAUGGGAUUAAUGUCUGUGUUGGUCAACUUUCUAUUACUGUAACAAAAUACCUGAGAUAACCAAUUUGUAGGGGAAAAAAAGGUUUAUUUUGACUCACAGUUUUAGAGGUUUCAAUCUAUGAUCUGUUGGUUUUGUAGUUUGGGCACUGCAGUGGUACAUCAUGGCAGGAAUGCCUGGUGGAGCAAAACCAUUUGCCUCAUGUCAGGGAAACAAAGGAGUGGAAGGGGAAGGGGGUACUCCUUCAAAGAUACACCCUCAGUAACCUAUAAUCUCCCAAUAGGUCCCACCUCUUUUUUAAUAUUUAUUUUUUAGUUUUAAUUGGACACAAUAUCUUUAUUUUAUUUUUAUGUGGUGCUGAGGAUCAAACCCUGUGCCUCAUGCAUGCUAGGCGAUGCUGUACCAUGAGCAACAACCCAUACCGAGUUCCUACCUCUUAAAGAUUUCAGCACUUCCCAGUAGCACCACACUGGGGACCGAGCUUUAACACACAGGCUUUAGGGGACAUUCUGGAUCCAAAUAAUAGUAGAGCCCUUAGAAAGGGACCCUGGGAGCUCUCUUACCUUAUUCCACCAUAUGAGCUUACUGCAAGAAUUUGGCAGCUUGCAACCUGGAAGAGGGCCCACACCAGAAUCCAACCAUGCAGACACCCCGAUCUCGGAUUUCCAGCCUCCAAAGCUGUCAGAAAUAAAUGUCUGUUGUUCAUAAACCACCUGGUGUUUUGUUACUGCAGCCUGAAAGAAGAUGGCAGCUUUGGCUGGUACUGAGUUCAGAGUUCAAGUGUAUUCAGCUCUGGGGAAAGAGGAGGGUGAGACACAUUGGAUAUCUGAGGCAGGAGGCAGGGUCAGGCCCAGGUCUGCUAUGACUACUCCUGUGGCAACAAACCGAGUUUUUCCUUCUGUCAGAUGGCAUGAAGCCCUUUGCCCAGGUUACCAAACAGGAGGGACACAGUAAGGCUCUGACACACAGCUGCUGUUUCCUCCCAUCCUGCCGCCUGCAAUGGUGAUGGGAGUUUCCCCUUCCCAUCCUUAAACUGAGCAUUUGGCAAACUCCAGCAUUUUGAGUUACUUGGGGUAACAAACAGAGUUCAGCUGAGUUUAAAUUUUCGAUCCGUACUUGAUUUAAUGAUCACCCUCUUCCCUGUGCCAGGAGGCCCUCCUCACUCCGGCUCUGGUCCCUCUCUCCUCCCAUGUGGGAAGAACAAAGACUGCAUGUCUUCUCUGGUAUUGCCACCACCCUCUCUCCCAGUCCCUGUCUGGCCAUGACAACCUGGACAGUGAUGCCCGGUGACAUAGAGCCCUUCAAAUACCAGCCCACCCGCCCCCGCCUUGUAAAAAAAGUCUCCAACUAUUUCGGAGUGACUUGAUUUGAGUGUGCCACGUCUUUCCUACUGCGAGCCAGACUGAUACCCCCAGUCUCCCCGAGGGGUUUUCCUAGAGCACUCCCAAUUGGCUUGAGGUAGGAAAGCCCUCAUCCUCUUCUCACCCCACCCUCCCCACCAGGCUGAGACCUCAAAAGUGCAACGAUAUCUUCAAAUCCACAGAACCCAACGUCCAGCAUGGAGAGUGGAUGUGGAGGAGUAUAGGAGGGUGAGGUAAUGAACUCCAGGAAGGUGUCAAACCCACUUGUUUUCAGGCUUCAUUAGAAAGUGGGGUACUUCAGGGCUGGGAUUGUGGCUCAGCAGUAGUGCGCUCACCUAGCACGGGCGGGACCCGGGUUCUAUCCUCAGCACCACAUAAAAAUAAAAGCAUUGUGUUGUGUCCAUCUACACCUAAAAAAAUAUUUUUAAAAAAAGAAAGUGGGGUACUUCACCCAAACGUGUCUUCAGAUAUAGGUCCUGGGGUUAAAUUUCAAAUCAGCAGCUGCACCCCCUCAUGGGAUUAAACUGGUAGACCAGCUUUUAUGCGCAAAGCAAUUGAAAUGCAAGGGAGGAAUCUAAAAGCUGCCGCAUGGGUGGACACUGUGUGCUGUUGGGUGUGAGUGAGGGCAUCAGUGUUUCUGGGUGUGCCGAGUGGGCACAUCUGUGAUGAAGAACGGAGAGGGGGUGGGGCAGUCCUGACAGGUACCAAGUAGAUACCUAGAGACCCAAGGGCACCGGUGGGCAGCCAGCCUGUGGGAGGCUGGAGGGGCUGCCUGGAAGUCAAACUGAAAUCCAGAGAGGAAAGAAGACAGGUUUAGGGAGGGCAGGGAGAGAUGGGGAGUUGCAGAGAAAAUCUGUGGAGCCCUCCCUUAUCUCUCCCCACUCCUCACUUCCUCUUACUUACCAUCCCCUGGGCCCAGAAUUUCUGGGGCCAAAGGGAAGAGGAAGGGGGCAGCCCAGAGUUUUAACCCACCUGGUUCUUGGCGGGGGCUUCGAACCUUCCCUGGUUGUGCUGAGGUCUGUCCCAGGUUGGUUGAUGCUGCACUGCUGCCCCCUGGUGGCUAUAACUGGCUUCAGCGGCAGGAGAUGAAAAAGAAAAUGAUCCUGGUGGCAGCCAGGCUGUGGCUGGGAAAGGGAUAGAUUCAGGGACCAAGGAUUGGAACAGAGAACACAGUGUGCACACUGUGACUUGCCAACAUAUCCCAACUUGACAAACGGGCAACCAUGCUUAACUGAACCAUGUCUGUCUCCUGGGUACCCCCAAACUUAGUUGGGGAGGGAGAUCAUUCUGUCCUGGGCAAUCCCUUUCCUAUGGGAGACCCUCUUCACAGCUUAGCUUUAGGACUCCUCAGCCCAUGGUAGCCGUGCAAGGGUACGACCAGGACCCUUCUCUGGGCUCAGCACCCCAGGUCCCUUGCCCCACUCCGGAAACCCCAUCCUUGGUAAAAACCCCAUACUUGGUAAAUAAAUCAUUGGUGAAGUCCUUGUCCUCAAACAGUGUGGCCUCUGAAGCUGCACUCCAUUCUCUGAAAAGCGUGACCAGCACAGUGAUCUCCUAGAAGCCCUCUGACUGCAUCCAGGCAGACGUUAGGGCUUAUCCACCAUCCAUGAACUGCUUGUAAUAUGGACCCCAUCAGCACGUGGGUAGGUCAAAUAUAUCUGACUCAUAUGGAGGGGAAGGCCCAAGUGUUGGUCCCUUGGAGUGAAGCUAAAAGCACAAAGAUGAGGGGUGCAUCAGUUGAUGCUCCAGGCCCACCUCACUUGAGAUCUGCACACUUCUCACCCACAAGCGUGUACUCCACCUAAAGCUAGCCGCCUCAUCCACAACCCACAGAGAGCACCAAAGCCCUGGGGGUCAAUGGCAUUCAAACCCCAGCUCUCACAUCAAAGCCAUUUCUCUUUUGGGAUCAAAAGCUUUCAGGUACCUCACUAAUCAGAUAACCUUGGGCUUCUAAGUUUCCUCAAGCUGAGGAAUCAUUACAAAAGGAGUAAUUAUAUACAUAUCAUAUUCGAUUUUUAAAUUUGUUAUUUGUUUAUUUCAUUUUUUAUUUUCACCAUCUGUCUUCUCCUGCAAUAAUGAGCAUUCCCAGGAAGAACAGGGGUCUCUGCUUUAAUCUCUGUGACGAGCACAGUACCCACACAUAGUAGGCACAAUUACCUGCUGAAUGAAUGAAUGAAUACAGUUUGUAGUGAGGAAUAAAUGAGGUAGACUAUAUAAACACUUUUGCAUAAAAUCCAGUACCAAUGGGUACUGAUUAUAUGUUAAUUCCUUUCCUUACCAAGCAAAUUGUUAAAGAUUUCAUAUAAGCCUCACAGUGGCCUUUUGAGGCAGAAACAUUAUUAUGAUCCAUUCAUUCAUUUAUUUGACAAACAUUUAAUAAGUGUCUACUAUGGAGCAGAUGUGAUUUGAUAUACUUGGUAAAUAAAUCAUUGGUGAAUUAAAAAGUCAAAGAAAGAAGUAAUAAACAAUAGACAAAAUAAAAUGUAACUAUACAAUGUGUUGAAAGGUGACAAGUGCCAUGGGGGAAAACAGCAGAAAGGACUGGAGGCAGGGAGGUUGCUGUUUUAAAGAGAAUGUUCAGUAAAGCCUCAGGAGCCAGCGAAUCUAAGAGGGCAUCUGAGGGAACACUUGAAGGGGGGGUGGGAGUUAGCCAAGGAGGAAAAGCCUUCCCAAAAAAUGGACCAGCAAGUGCGACAACUCUAAGACCUGGCUUCCUGUGUAAGGAGGACUAUGGUGGAGUGAGCCCGGAAAAGAGGUCAGAGGUUUGGGAGAUCUGGUUGGACACUGAGCAAGAUGGAAAGCCUGGGAGAGGUUAUAAGCAGGAGAUCUGAUCUGACUUCCAUUUCAGGACUGUCCUUGCUACUGUAUUGUGAAUAGACCAGGGCUGGGGACAUGGCUUAGUGAAAGAGCACUGGCCUAGAAUGUGCAAGGCCUGGGUUCAAUUUUUUUAAAAAAUAGGCCACAGCGGGGCAAGGUCAGAAGCAGCGAGAGCCAGGAGGAGCCAUUGCUGAAAUUCAGAUGAAAGUGGAACCGGGGCUGGGACCAGGUCAGGGACUGGGAACCAAUACCAGUUGUAUUAAAGGAAGAGCCAACAGGAUUCCUGAUGGAUCAGGCAAGGGUGGGGGCCAGAGAAAGGGAGGAAUGGAGGGUGCUGCAAGGUUUUUGCACACAGUGACCCUGAGCUCCAGAGGACUAGUGACAGGCCACAGAGCCGGUUAGCAGGUGUGGGCGGAGGAAUGGAGCAUGGGAUCAGGGUGGUGCAAGGGCCCCCAGGUCUAGGAUGGUGUCUGGGAGAGGGCUGGGCAGAGUAGGGGUGCCAGUCACCAACCAGCUCCAGGGAAGCUGGGUGUUGAUUUGAGCAACAGCUUUUUCCUCUUCCCCUGAACUCCCCUAUGAUGGCCUUUUAAUUGGGUCCAUUUGUUCCAAGACCAUGGGCUGAGCAGAGCAGACGCCGGAUUAUUAAAUAGAUUAGGAAAUGACCCUCUGUCUUGAGUUGCCAGAAAAAUCAGAGCAGCUUAACAGUGUCUCUGAGGAGUAACGCAAGUGGUCCUCCAUGCAUUGCGGAGUCCAUUCUAGGCACCCUGCCCCCCACCUCCCGCCUUCAUCUGCAGUGUCCUCCCCACUCCCUUCCCUCCCCAUCUUCCCAGAGCAAUUUUUGUUCAAAGCAACAUCUUCUAUGAUUACAUUUUCCUUCUUGCAUAACUUUUUGUUUUUCCUGGAAUUAAUUAUUGCCUAAGAGGGAUAUAUUCUAAGGACAAAGAGAACGAUAAAGGAAUCUUAAUCACAUUACUACUAAUAAUAUUGGUGUUUUUACUUUGAAACUACCACAUAUAGUAGAAUAUAACGUACAUGUGAUUAUGUUGAUGUCAUUGGAAAAAACAUUUUCAACAUGAAAGAGAUAGGAGUACGAAAUCAAAGGAGUUACAGAAAAACUACUAAAGUCUUCAAUUUAGGAAUUGAAAAACAUCAGUAUGAACUCAUGAUGCAUUUUUCUCUUAAAAAAAAAAAAGCAAAUAUUUCCAAGCUGGCUGCCGGGGUACAUGCCAGGAAUCUCAGCUACUUGGGAAUCUGAGGCAGGAGGAGAGCAAGUUCCAGACCUGCCUGAGCAACUUGGCUGUACAGCGCUUUCCUAUCAUGUACAAGGCCCUGGGUUCAACCUCUAAAACCACCAAGGGGGAAAAGGUUAGGUAUUUCCUAGCUAACCUUUCAGUUUUGAGACUAGAAAUAAUAUAAGAUGGGCACGGAACAUUUUGUCAUACAAAAAAAGCAUGUUGUCACCAUUGCUAAUGUUGUGUUUAAAGGACAUAGGAACUAACCUGAAUGUGUUCCACUAAUCACAGAUGGGAUAUUUUAAAUAUCAAAAAAAGAAUAAAAACCAGGGAUGGUGCUACACACCUGUAAUCCCAGCAACUCAGGAGGCUGAGAAAGGAGGAUCCCAAGUUCCAGCCCAGCCUGAGCAACUUAGCAAGAGCCUAUGUCAAAAUAAAAAAUAAAAAGGACUGGGAUAUAGCUCAGUGACAGAGCACCCCAGGAUUCAAUGUCCAGGGCCAAAAAAUAAAUAAAUAAAUAAAAUAAAAAAGAAUUAAGAUCUAUAAUAGAUUGAGAUAGAUACCUAUCUGAAACAUGUUUCUUUUCCCCCCUGAAUUUAGCAUUCCUUUACUUUUUAAUAAAUUUAUUUUUAAACUUAUAAAUAAAACACAAAAUUGUAAAUAUUAAUGUGAUAUUUUGAUAUAUGUAUACAUUAUACAUAUAAAGUCAGGUUAAACACAUCUUUUUACUUACAUGUUUAUCAAUUUCUUAGAGUAAAAACUUAAAAAAAUUUUUUUCACUACUAGAGAUUGAACCCAAAAGGGCUCUACCACUGAGUACAUCCCCAGCUCUUUGAAUUUUUUAUUUUGAGACAGGGCUUUGUUAAGUUGCCCAGGCUGAUCUCAAACUUGCAAUCCUCCUGACUCAGCCUCCUGAGUAGCUGAGGUUACAGGCUUGUAUCACCUUCCCUGGCUUCUUCUAGCUUUUUGAAAUGCACAGAACAUUAUGGUUAUCUAUUGUGAAAUUCAUGUUUUGAUCCAGAAGUUUAUAAUGAUACUAAAAGUAGAUAAGCAAGCAAACUCAUAGGUCAGGUUUGUGUGUUGCUAGUUUAUCCAUGCUUUACUCUGAAAAGUAAUUUAGAAGGAAAAUAAUCUAACAUUUACCCUGUCUUUCCUGAUCAAACCAUAUUUCAGAGCGACCAAAUGAUUGAUGAAAAAUUCCUUACAGAAGAACUUGAGCCAAUAAAUGAAGAAGGAAUGAUAGAAUUAAACAUUGCAAUUUUGUAUUCCUGAUAAAGUACUAUUCUAGGCCUGCGCUGUCCAUUAGGGUGGUGACAACCCAUAAAUUGCUACUGAACUCUUGAAAUGUAACUUGCUUAUACUGAGUUGUGAUAUAAAUAUAAAAUGCACAUUGGGUGUUGAAGACUUAGUACGAAAAAUUUUUAAAUAUCUCAAAACUUUAUAUUAAUUACAUAUUGAAAUGUUAAUAUUUUGGUUAUAAUGGAUAACAUAUCAUACAUUAUUAAAAUUAAUUUAAAAUCAUACAUGA
rnacentral:lncRNA from 1 species